rnacentral:lncRNA from 1 species
CUUGUUUAUAGUGCUAUAGAGUAUGCUAUGAAUCUUGUCUCUUGCAAGCAAUCAUUGGAAGUGAUUCUUGGAUUCUUGUUCAUAGUUUUUGUUUUAUUUUUGAGUGUGUUAGUUUAUUUAAUCUGUUGCGAGGUCAGUAUAACAAGGUUUCAAAAUCAUUUGGUUAUUAUCUCAAUUCUCAAUGGGCAUAUCAAGACCUAUAAUCGGCCUAAAUUGGGCUUUCCCAUUGAGUAGAGUUGCUCAAUAUUUUCUUACUUUUGUUCGUAAGCCCCAAUUGAACCCAUUACGGACCCGUAAGCAGCCCGUUUCUUGUGCGUACACUCAACCCUGUAUCUUACUUUCUUUAAAUGUUUGUUAUAGAUUGCUCCUCAGGCAAUCAGGUAAGUGUGAUUUCUGUGAAUUCUUCAUCAAGUCUGCUGCUUUUUCUUCUUUCUUCCAAUUGUAAGUUAUGUAUCUGUUUUCAUUACACAACUAUGUGUAAGCAUAAUAUAGAUUGGAAGUUAAAUAUAUCUUGCAAUGAUUGUAAGAAUUCUUCAAUGUCAUGGAGAGUAUUCAAGCUGAAGUUUUUGUGGAAUCGUUUAACUAUUGAUUGUUAUUAGCAAUAAGUAAGAAGGACAUUGCAAUAACAUUCUUAGCUUAAGUUUUGAUCUGCUAAUUAGCUUACUUUUCACUAAAGCAUGAUUGUGCCCUUUGAGAUUUUUAAUCAAAAGCUAAAUGUUUCUCUCCCUUAGAUUGGUAAUUUUGAGGUGUUGCUGUUAUGUGUAACAAUAUUAUGCAAUGGAAGGUAAACUUGUGCAUUUUAAUGUUGUGUCACAUCUUUGCAAUGAUCAUAAACAUUUUUCAAGUUUCUGGUGGUGCUAGUUUCUCCACUAUUGUUUAGAGUGGAGUUCUUAGCCUAUGUUCUUCCAAGCAUGUUUGCCUUGAGCUAAAUGUAGUACCUGUGGGAUUUACAAUUGAAAGGUAUACAGUAAGAUGAAGGCAACAAAGGUUCUUAAUGACUUACUGGGAAUGAAUGCUAAGAUGUUACAUAAAUGUACUUAAAUCCUUAGGUCUCAAUUGACAUGACAAAAGGCUUGUUGUAAGUGCAAUGCCUUUUGUGCCAUGGUGCAGGUGGGGGCCAAGCACAAUGAUAAUAUCUAUAUUAAGAUAAAGUGGAUGAGGCAAAUGUGAAUUUUGUUGGUGGAUAUUUCAUGGUGGUCUAAUCAUAAGUGACAAAAGAUUGGAUGAAAGAAACAGAUUAUGAUUUUAGCCUAUGAGUGAUAAAAGGAAUUAGUAAAUGAGUCCCUUUCAUGGAUUGCAUCAGAGACGGAAUUUAUUUUGUGUCAAGUCCUCAUCAUUAUGCAGACUUUUUUUGUCAUCAAUGAUGAUUGUGGUUAACUAUUUAACUUUAUAUGUGUAAAAGAAUAUGCAUAUAUAUAUAUGUAUAUGAGCAUUUAUCUCUAUAUCCCUAGCCCCAAGAUCCUAGCUCCAAGAUCAACUGGAAUGUUGGAUUAAUAAUAAUAAUAAUAGUCUAUAAUAAUAAUUAUAAAAGAUUGGAUUUUGGAAAUAAUUAUUACAUAAGGAAUUGGGAGGCAGUCUAUAAUAAGCUCAAAAGGUUUAGAUGUGACAAUUAAAUGUGUAUUUCAAGAUUCGUUAAUUACCUUUAUUUCUUGUAGUAGAGUUUAUGAUCAUUUGCAUCAUUAGUAUUUCAGAUUUAUGCACAUUAUCUUGACCCAUUCUCAACUCGUUUUUUUUUCUGCCUAACCAUGCCUUCGUGCACGUCUUUAUUAUUAUUUCAGAUAUGAUCAUAAGAUUAUCAAUCAUCUUUAUUAAUGUGUUUUAUAUUUUGAUAACAGUUGUUCCGUCUUUGCAUAGAUUCUGUGCAGGAGUUGUAGAACCGAUAGAACUUGCAAGUUCAUCAAAAAUAUUGGGAAGAUACUCUUCUUUCUUUAUGACUGAAUAAUAACAUCCCAAAUCUUUUUGUCAACACACGUAUGUCUCAAUUUUGGGAAGACUGACAUUAAUGAAAUGAAUAUAUGGAAGGAAGUAAGAAAGUAGAAUUCAUGAAUUUAAAUAAAACAAGUAAUCUAAGUAAAAUCGUGCACUUAUUUCAUGUUAAAGAACCAAUGCAAUGUGAACAUAAAACAUGAAGGAUAGGAUACUUUCUGAUGCUCACGAAGUUGCAUGUAUAGAUUGAUUGUCUCCUGAUUGAAAAGUGGCUUGCUAUUAUAAUUAACAGGUGUUGUGAUAUAUAUAUAUAUAUAUAUAUAUAUAUAUAUAUAUAUAUAUAUAUAUAUAUAUAUAUAUAUAUAUAUAUCACGAAACGUGUAUAAAAGUACGGUAAAAAGCGAUGAUCAAUAGAAGAAAAAUGAAUAUUUUUUUUUUAAUUUAGGCAAUUUGUGAUAUAAAUAAUUUAUUGCUGCAGUUUUGUAUUUCUUGUGCAUAGCGAAGCUUAUACACACUAUAUAUAGGAAAUAGGGUGCCCCUUUCAUAUCUCUUUCUACUCCCACAAUGGCGGCUGCGACGCUCCGCUCCGUACUCCGCCGCAAUCGCCUCCUCACCUUGUUCGAAACCUGCCACCUUCGAGAUCGCCUCUUCUUCUCCUCCUCUGUCAAUGCUGCCGCCGUCACCGUAGGCGGCACCAUGUCUCCAGAUCCCCACUUCAUGGUGGAAUACCUCGUGAACUCCUGCGGGUUCUCCCCCUCCGAGGAAGCCAAGUUCUCUAAAUCCCUUGCGCACCUCCGAUCCACCGAUAAACCCGACGUCGUCCUUAACUUCAUGAGAUCUCAGGGCUUCGACGGCGCCGGUAUCAGGAAAGUGAUAUCUGCGGAUCCCAGAUACUUAUGCUACAACGUGGAGAAGAACCUCGCCCCGAAGUUUCAGUUCUUACGCGAUUUGGGCUUAUCGGAGUCGGAUAUCGUCGAUGCCAUCCUGAAGAACGAUGACAUCCUGCGCCUCGACGUUCACCGUUCCUUGGUCCCCAAAUUGGAGAUGUGGGAAAGUCUCUUGGGAUCGAGAGAGCUCGUUCUCAAGCAUCUCAAGAAGACAACACGGUUUUUCCACUCCAGCGUUGAGAAGAGAUUGCAUCCUAACCUAAAGUUCUUGAGGGAUGAGUGCGGCAUUCCUGAAGAAAGGGUCUCUGUCGUCUUGAGAAGUCGCCCACAUUUAAUCUCGCAGAAACCAGAGUCUCUCCGAGCUUUGGUGGUGAGAGCCGAUGAGCUGGGGAUGCCACGGCAAUCUCGGAUGUUCAUGUGGACCCUUCAUGUUUUCCACAACGUAAGCAAAGAAAAGUUCGAGUCCAAGGUCGAGCUCAUGAGGAGCUUCGGGUGGUCGGAGUCGGAGUUUUCUUCUGCAGUCAGGAAAAAUCCCACCUUCUUAUGCAUCUCCCUCGAUAUGUUGCGCAGAAAAGUGGAAUUUUUUAUUAAUGUAGUCGGGUACACCCCUUCCUUCAUCGCCUCCCAUCCAAAUCUCUUGCUAUCAAGUCUGCAGAAGACGGUAAUUCCUCGGUUUCGUGUUUUGGAGAUGUUGAAUACGAAAGGCUUGUGGACUCGACGAGGCACGUUUUUGUCCUAUGUGCAAUUAUCAAAUACAAAAUUCAUGGAGAAGAUUGUUCUACCCUACAAAGAAAAGGUUCCUGAGCUUCUUGAUAUUUUGAGAGUCGCAGGUGAGUGUGAAGGGAAAUGAGCCCUUUUAUUUGGUAUCAGAGGUGGAUGAGAAGGGCUUAGCUGAUGGUCUAACUCACAUUUGAAUUUCUCAACAGGAGCUGAGCAGUGAUUCAGCACCUUUUCCCUUGACAACAAGCUGUCUUACAUCAACCACCAGCCUUGGCUACUGAGGUGCAGUCCAGUGAAAGAAUUAUUCCUUUGGUGUCAUAUGGUAGUAAUGUUGUAAUUGGAAGGUCUACGCAUUGCCCAACACAAAAUGUCUUCCAGUUUUACUCAUUAAGGUUCAUGGAAAAGUCUGUUCUUUGUUGCAAAGCAGAAGUCCCUGGUCUGUUUGAAAUCUCUGAUAGAUGAAGGUAGAUUAUUCCCCAAGUUUGAGAUUCUGGAAAUAGAAUGCAAAUGGCUUCUCUAAAAGUCUAUUGAGGUGUGAGAUUCUUCUUAUGUGACAAGCUAGUUUAGCAUUGAUUAUAAACCAACUUUGUUUUGUCUUACUAAAUGUUUGCUCGAAUCAUUUUCUGAUUGUGUUUGGCACUGUAUUGUUGGUUUGUAUGUGAACUGCAGGUUUUAGAAAUUCUGCUUAGCAGUCCAAUGGAGAUUAUUUUGGAUCUUAGGAACAUUUGGAUUCUGUGCAUAUUGAUUCUGAAUGGGUAUUUGGAUUCUGUCCAACUUAAUUCCGGAUCGGUUAUUGGUUGUUGGGGGAGUGUGAAAGAGCCAUGUUUCAGAUCAAAUUAUGCAGUAUGUAUACAUCACCAAAGAUGACGAGAAGUUACAUGGAGUAGUAGUUGCUCUGAUGAUUUUAGUAGCUGAAAAAAAUUUAAGCACCAAAUUGUUGUUUCUAUAAUUUGUUUUUAGUGAGUUUUUAUGGAUUUAUGGAUUUGGAUGUCUUCAAGGAGGUAUUAUCUUGUCAGUUGAGCUUCUAUGCAAACUUAUUCGUGUGCUAAUUGGAAGAUUCCAUUUAUGUUUCUGUUAUGUAUUGUGAUAUUUGCUUGCAGGGGCCUCAAUGGAAUUUGUAAGACCGGUUGCUGUGUUGAUCAGGAUUACCAUUGGUUUGGUACUCACCCAUUUCUUUUGCACUAAGAAGAUGUCACUUUGCUUGAAGGUUGAAUGGACUUUAGAGAAUCAAAACUUGAGGAUGCUAUCCUGAAAUGUCUUCAUCCUCAUUGGAAUUGUUGAGUAUGCUAUCCUGAAAUGUCGUCAGCCUCAUUGGAAUUGUUGCUCAGGCAUUUCCUGCAUCAACAAACUCUAAUUUGCAAACUAAUUUAUAAGCCUAAACAUUUUAAAAUUGACAACAAAAUGUGUAUUUCAAAUUUCUGUAAUUCUCUUUACGUUUUGUUGUAGAGUUAAUGAUCAUUACAUCACAAGGUUUUAUGUCCUGCAUUUAGUGCAGAAAUGACUACUUAUGAUUAUGCACACACACUAUCCUGACCCAUUCUCAUCUACUCUUGUUUCUGCCUCUCCAUGCAAUUGUGCAUAUUUUUAAUAUCACAGUUCAGAUAAGAUCAUAAGAAUAUCGAUCAUUGUUCUUGAUUUGUAAAACAUUUUCUGAAUCUUGAUAUUAGCUGUUCCAUCUUUUGCAGCGAAUUUUGUGUAGCUGUGCAUGAGUUGUGGAACUGACAACUUGCAAGUGCAUCAAGAAUAUUGGAAGUUAUGCAAAAACUGCUUUUCUAAUUACAUUCUUGAUCCUACCAAGCUUAUUAGUAGUAAGAGAGUUUGCUAUGAAUCUUUUCUCUUGCAAGCAGAUCAUUGGAAGUGAUUCUUGGAUUCUUGUUCAUAGUAUUUGUUUUAUUUUUGAGUGUGUUGGUUUAUUUAAUCUGUUGUGAGGUCAGUAUGACAGUUUCAAAAUCAUUUGCUUUUUAUCUCGAUUCUCAAUGGGCAUAUCGAGACUCGUAAUGAGCUUAAAUUGUGCUUUCACAUUGAGUAGGCUUGCUCAAUAUUUGCGCCCAAUUGAACCCAUUACGGACCCGUAAGCAGCCCAUUUUUGUGCGUACACUCGACCCUAUAUCUUUUUCUUAAAUUGUUAUAGAUUGCUCCUCAGGCAAUCAGGUGAGUGUGAUUUCUGUGAAUUCUUCAUCAAGUCUGCUACAUUUUCUUCUUUCUUCCAAUUGUAAGAUAUGUAUCUGUUAUCGUUACACAACUGUGUAAGCAUAAUAUAGAUUGGAAGUUAAACAUAUCUUGCAAUGGUCGUAAGAAUUCUUCAAUGUCAUGGAGAGUAUUCAAGCUGAAGUUUUUGCGUAAUCGUUUAACUAUUGAUUGUUAUUAGCUUUAAGUAAGAAGGACAUUGCAAUAGCAUUCUCGGCUUGAAUUUUGAUUUGCUAAUUACCUUUCACUAAAUCAUGAUUGUUCCCUGUGAUAUUUUUAAUCAAAAGCUAAUUGUUUCUCUGCCUUUGAUUGGUAGUUUUUGAGGUGUUACUGUUAUGUGUAGCAAUAUUAUGCAAUGGAAGGUAAACUUGUACAUUUUAAUAUUGUCUCACAUCUUUGCAAUGAUCAUAAGCAUUUUUCAAGUCUCUGGUGGUGAAUCCAACCUUAUGUUCUGAUGAAUCAUUUCACUCCUUUUCUAGAAAGAAUCCUGCAGGUACUGAGAACACUAAAAUAACGUUCUAUUGAUGAUGAUGUAAAACGAUGAGAAUUUGGCCAAUUAUUUAAUUUGAUUUUUUAUAUUGCCUGUUACUUUCUCCACUGUUGUUUAGAGUGGAGUUCUUAGCCUAUGUUCUUCCAAGCAUGUUUGCCUUGAGCUAAAUGUAGUACCUGUGGGAUUUACAAUUGAAAGAUACACAGUAUGAUGAAGGCAACAUUGGUUCUUAAUGGCUUACUGUGGAUGGAUGCUAAGAUGUUCCAUAAAUGUACUUAAAUACUUUGGGUCUCAUUUGACAUAACAAAAGGUUUGUUGUAAGUGCAAUGCCUUUUGUGCCAUGGUGCAGGUGGGAGCUAAACACAAUGAUAAUAUCUAUAUUAAGAUAAAGUGGAUGAGGCAAAUGUUAAUUUUGUUGGUGGAUAUUUCAUGGUAGUCUAAUCAUAAGUGUGAGAAGAUUGGAUGAAAGAAACAGAUCAAGAGUCCUCCUCAUAGAUAUGGAAUUUAUUUUGUGUGAAGUCCUCAUCUUUAUGCAAACAUAUUUUUUUGUCAUCAAUGAUGAUUGUGGUUAACUAUUUAACUCUAUACAUGUAAAAGAAUAAUAUAUAUAUAAUUAAUUAAUAAACAGUCAAAUUUAAUUAAAAUAUUAUUUAAUUCAUGAUCAACAUCUCUGCAUCGAUCAGUGGACAAUCUCUCCUCUUUUUGCAUGAGGAUCAUCGACAAUAGUCGAUGGGCAAGGUAACUAAUGUUUGAAUUAUCAAGCGGACGAUGAGAAGAUAAUGAGGUAUAAUUGAUGAGAUAAAAAUAUGAUGAAAAUUAUGUAAAAGUACAGUAAGAAACGAUGAUCGAUAGAAGUUAAAUGAAUAUUAAAAAAAUAUUUUAAUUUUUUUUAAAUUUAGGCAAUUUCAUAAGAAAAUUUCAAUGUUUAUUAAAAAAAAAGAAUUCGUCCGAUGAUCAAAUCACUUUUCUCAUGAAAAGAGUGUUUUCUUAUGGAGAGAUAAAAUUAUAUAAAUAUUUUGUCGACCAUUUUAUCCAUAUUUAUGAUAUAAAUAAAUUAUUCCUGCAGUUUUGUAUUUCUUGUGCAUAGCGAAGCUUAUACACACUAUAUGUAGGAAUUAGGGUACCCCUCUCAAAUCUCUUUGUUCUCCCACAAUGGCGGCUCCGACGCUCCGCUCCGUACUACGCCGCAAUCGCCUCCUGCCCUUGUUCGAAACCUGCCACCUUCGAGAUCGCCUCUUCUUCUCUUCCUCUGUCGACGCUGCCGCCGUCACCGUAGGCGGCACCAUGUCUCCAGAUCCCCACUUCAUGGUGGAAUACCUCGUAAACUCCUGUGGGUUCUCCCCCUCCGAGGCAGCCAAGUUCUCUAAACCCCUUGCGCGCCUCCGAUCCACCGAGAAUCCCGACGCCGUCCUUAACUUCAUGAGAUCUCAGGGCUUCGACGGCGCCGGUAUCAGGAAGGUGAUAUCUGCGGAUCCCAGAUACUUAUGCUGCAACGUGGAGAAGAACUUCAGCCCGAAGUUUCAGUUCUUACGUGAUUUGGGCCUAUCGGAGUCGGAUAUCGUCGAUGCCAUCCUGAAGAACGAUGUUAUUCUGCGCCUCGACGUUCACCGUUCCUUGGUCCCCAAAUUGGAGAUGUGGGAAAGUCUCUUGGGAUCGAGAGAGCUCGUUCUCAAGCAUCUCAAGAAGACAACACGGUUUUUCCACUCCAGCGUUGAGAAGACAUUGCAUCCUAACCUAAAGUUCUUGAGGGAUGAGUGCGGCAUUCCUGAAGAAAGGGUCUCUGUCGUCUUGAGAAGUCGCCCACAUUUAUUCUCGCAGAAACCAGAGUCUCUCCGAGCUUUGGUGGUGAGAGCCGAUGAGCUGGGGAUACCACGGCAAUCUCGGAUGUUCAUGUGGACCCUUCAUGUUUUCCACAACGUAAGCAAAGAAAAGUUCGAGUCCAAGGGCGAGCUCAUGAGGAGCUUCGGGUGGUCGGAGUCGGAGUUUUCUUCUGCAGUCAUGAAAAAUCCCACCUUCUUAUGCAUCUCCCUCGAUAUGUUGCGCAGAAAAGUGGAAUUUUUUAUCAAUGUAGUCGGGUACACCCCUUCCUUCAUCGCCUCCCAUCCAAAUCUCUUGCUAUUGAGUAUGCAGAAGACGGUAAUUCCUCGGUUUCGUGUUUUGGAGAUGUUGAAUACGAAAGGCUUGUGGACUCGACGAGGCAAGUUUUUGUCCUAUGUGACAUUAUCAAAUACAAAAUUCAUGGAGAAGAUUGUUCUACCCUACAAAGAAAAGGUUCCUGAGCUUCUUGAUAUUUUGAGAGCAGGUGAGUGUGAAGGGAAAUGAGCCUUUUAUUUGGUAUCAGAGGAGGAUGAGAAGGGCUUAGCUGAUGGUCUAACUCACGUGUGAAUUUCUCAACAGGAGAUGAGCAGUGAUUCGGCACCUUUUUCCUUGACAACGAGCUGUCUUACAUCAACCACCAGCCUUGGCUACUGAGGUGCAGUCCAGUGAAAGAAUUAUUCCUUGGUGUCAUAUGGUAGUAAUGUUGUAAUUGGAAGGUCUAUGCAGUGGCCAACACAAAAUGUCUUCCAGUUUUACUCAUUAAGGUUCAUGGAAAAGUCUGUUCUUUUUUGCAAAGCAGUAAGCCCCUGGCCUGUUUGAAAUCUCUGAUUGAUGAAGGUAGAUUAUUCCCCUAGUUUGAGAUUUUGGAAAUAGAAUGCAAAUGGCUUCUCUAAAAUUCUAUUGAGGUGUGAGAUUCUUCUCAUGUGACAUGCUAGAUUGGCAUUGUUUUUGUCUUACUAAAUGUUUGCUUGAAUCAUUUUCUGAUUUUGUUUGGCACACUAUUGUUGGUUUGUAUGUGAAUUGCAGGUUUUAGAAAUUCUGCUCAGCAAUUCAACCGAGAUGAUUUUGGAUCUUAUGAACUUUUGGAUUAUGUGCAAAUUGAUUCCGAAUUGUCAUGGACAAAACUAUAAACGAGGUUUUGAUGUAAUGCUCAUAUAUGUCUGUGCAUUUUGGUUUUGUUCAUGCUUUGGAUAGCAUGUAAAGUGUUGACAAUAGGUUUAGUAGUCUCAUUUUCUUUGGUUUUGACGGCUAUCUUAGGCUUGCAAAUAAAGAUUGUGUCCUGUUGGCACUUUUGAGGAAUUCCGUUUGUAGUAGACCAUUUUGGACACUUUUGUUGUGCGAUCAUUCAAAGUUUUUAAGUCUGUCUGUAAUUUGCAUUGGCUAUAAAGUCAUUUGGAUCCCGAUUGUGAUAUUUUUUCUAACACAUUUUCUUUUUUGUAGGUUAUAAGGACCAUAGGAGGUUAUAAGUAGACCUUUUCGGAUGGAUGCGUAAGAGAGUUGCACGAUUUUGGUAAAACCAACUAAGUACGUGACAUAUGGUCUCAAAGCGGGAAAAUCACUUAUAAAAACACUUGGCAAACAAACGUGGGGAACCUAGCGGGGUUACGUUGAGAGUAGCCAGCAAGCAAGAUUGUUUGGGGGAAACUAACAUGGAGAUAUAGGAAAAAAGAAUCGCUCAGAAAAACGAAUAUCUGAGAUUGACAUUUAGAGAAAUAGCUAAUCCUUUGCUCAAGAGGCAUCACGAAGACAAGUAAGCUGGGAAGAAUGUGUAAUGCACAAAGGUUGGAAUGGCUGAGUUCGAGCUACGGCUCGAUAUUGGUAACCAUAAUAGUGUUCAAGGCAAGCGAGACGCUUGGUUAAGGAUGAGACAAUGCAAGAUGUAAUGAGUUAUUCAGCAACCGAAAGAGUUGUGAAAGGUUCACAAAGGUGAGGGGAAUUGUUAACUCGAAGAAUUCGGUACUAAGGGCUUGUAUGCGGACGAUGGAAUGUUCGUGGUCAUCCUAAGGCGAUCGAAACUCGGCACCAUGGAGCAUUGAAACUUUCUCAUCGGCAUGAGAAUGAUACAUCCGUAUAAGGUUGAAGUGUGCAACGAGUUCAAUAUGUUGCUAGGCCUUGGGGUGCAGUAGGGGUUGUAUUGAUGUGGAGUCACAAUCUAACAAGUGCGUUUGCGGGGGCAGAACAAUGCACAGUUUGUUCAGCAAGAUAGAGUAGUCUAAGAGGAUGGUGGUCUCUGAAACUUCCAGAGGGAAAGAUGCGAAGAGAGAAGUUGCUUCAUCGGGACAGAUACCUUGGAGGGAUUAGUCUCGGUUCUCUAGAGGGAGAAUUAUGUGCAACAGACCGUACAUAUUCAGGAGGAGUAUCUCAAAACAACAUCACAAAGCUUAACGGNNNNNNNNNNNNNNNNNNNNGGUGCCAAAGAUGAAGGGAGCUUCAAGGCACAUGCACCCUAUCUCGGAGAAGCAUUUGACAGAGGAACCAAGGCGACUCAACUUGCAGAAGCAAAGUUGGGUUCAUAAGGCUUUGGAAUGGAACAAGAGGACGCGGAGGUCGGUACUCUUGAAGAAUAUGCCACAAUACUGUCAUUCAAGUUGCCAUGAAGGAAGCGGUGCGUAGCGGAGAUUGUGUUGGUGGGGCAAAGGCCCAGGAUCUAGACAAUAGCGCAUUAUUUUCAACAAGGUCGGUGGACUUCAAGAGCUACUAGGCGACGGACUAUCCUAGAACGGUGCUUCAUUUGGGUGUGAUCAAAAAGCAGGUGGACGAAAGUUGAUUGCCAAAGAAGCGAACAUAAUCGAAGGUGGAAGAAGCCCUGCGAUGUGUUGGCAGAGGCCACACAAGAAGGGAUCACAAUCCGAGUUCAUCCUACAAUGAUCAGAAUGUAAUGGAGAUGCUACCAGGAGGCGACAUGGUGCAGCAGAUCGUGGUGGAAUAAUUCGUGACAAUGCGAUAUACACAAAACUAGUCCCGCGAGGGACUAGAUCAUACGAAGAUAUGAUUGGGAGCUCAACUUCGGUAAAUAAUACGAUGACAAGACAUCCUUGGUGUCUCAAGUUUAAGGACCAGAUACAACACUAGGACAAUUGAAUCACUGUUUGACAAUUAGAUAUAAUCAACAAUCCAACGUUUCAUGAGCGGAUCAAUUAGUGAACUCAUUCUCUAAUGAGCACCUGCGUUGUAUCCCUAGUGUCCCCACACGAGUAACUAUGAGACAUGUGGCCUCCGUUAUAUGGAUGGAUGUACAACAUCCUGGUCUAUUUGGUCAUCUCGAUGUCCCUCUCGAGUAACCUUUAACUCCAUCUCGAGUAACCUAUGACUGAGAUUAUUUAGGGUUUAUAUUUAAAAACGAAUCUGUCUCAUUAUCGUGAUCUUAUCACGAUCCAAUUUCUAUUGCAUAGAUCUAUAGACAUCACAAUACAUACAACAAAUAAUAUAAAGUGAAAAAAAUAUCAAAUAAAAAAUUAAUAAAAAAAUAUGUAUCAUGACACCCAUUCAAUCACACAUAUGAUUGGCUUGUAGGGUACCUAUGAUUAGCACGAAUGAGCACUCCCCCAAUAGUGAACGAAGAUGCUUCAUUCUAUAGGAUGAUUUUAUGUUCUCCGAAUAGGGAGAAAUCUAUUUCGCACUAGCAACAAUGGAUAGAGUGAUAUUCCUCAAAUGUCAAAGUAGGGAUACAUUUCUCCUAAUAGCGGAUGGAGGACAUCUAACAACCUACUAAUUCCUGAAAGAAAUCACCCUAUCUGCCCUUUUUAAGGAAACAAAAUCAUCUUAUAUUGAUAAUUUCCAUCGAGAUAAAAUAACAUAUUAAAACAUCUUAAUUUAUCUUUUAAAUAUUAUUAUUAUCAAAUAAUAUCAAUUAGUCUUUAAUUGAUUUGAAUCAUUAUUUAAUCGAUCUAAUUGAAUUAGAUUUAACUAUAACAUAAUUGAAUUAAUUUUUAAUUCUCAUUUAAUCGAUCCAAAAUCAUCUUGUACUAAUAUAAUUUAGAUUAGAUUAAGUUUAAUUUACGUUAAAUAGAUUUAAAUAAAUCAAAUCUAUUCAGAAUCACCUUCAAUCGAUUUAAAUUUAUCAAAUUAGAUUUGGCUUAAUUGAACAUAAAUAAAAUAAAAUAAAGGUAAUAAGUUAAACUUUAUAGUAAUAGGAUAGAUUAAGCUAACCGAUAUAUGCAUGACUAUGCAUGUACCUUAUCAUUAUGUUAGCUCGUAGCCUAUGGACUAAUCAUGUGCAUUGCCCAUGUUGGAUCGAAUUGAACUAGCAGCUAGGCUUAGCCUUUUGGUUGAGUCUAAUCUACGGGUUGUGGUUUAGCUUGUGGGCAGAGCCUAAGCUAAGAGCCUGAUUUACUAAGCAGAUUUCAACCUAAAUCUUAAUUAUUUUUUUAAUUUUAAAUUAUAGCAUCAUGAAAUUAUAAUCAAAACACUUAACUAUUACCAAUGAGUCAUUAAAACAUAAUAAAUAGUUAUAGAUUAAAAAUAUAUAAUUACGUUGAAGGGAAAUUAAUAUUUUUACUCAACUAUUAUACAAAUUUAAUCGAAAUUGAAUAUUACAACUAGUAUGGUGCAUGCAAAAUACAAAUUUUAAAAAUUAUUAUACUAUGAAUAAUUAUAAUAUAUUUUAAUCAAAAAAUAAAAAUUUAAGUACUUGAAUAAAUAGAGAAAAUAUUAGAAACUAUAUAUAGUAUGAAUAAUUAUAAUAUAUUUAAUCAAAAAAUAAAAUUUUAAACACUUAGAGAUAAAAUAAAAUAUUAAUUUUUUAAAAAAUAUAGAAGCGAAAGGAAACAUCUUAUUAAAUAAAAAGAGCCGAGCCCUUCAAGGUAAUAAAUUUUUUAAUUUUUAUAAUUCUUUAAUAUAUAUAUAUAAUUAAUAAAAAUAAUAUCACUAACUUAAAAUAUUGAGUAUUUAUUUUAUAAAUUUUAUUCAUAAGAAAAGAAAGUGAAUAAUUAUACUUAAAGAUUUGAGUAAAGAUGAAAUGGUCAAAUUAGUAUUUUAAGAUCAUUUUAUCCAUAUUUUUGAUAUAAAUAAUUUAUUCCUAUAAUUUUGUAUUUCUUGUGCAUAGUGAAGGUUAUACACACUACGGAUAAGGAGGGUUGUUGUAAUUAGGGUGCCGCUGUGGCUGCUCUCGUCCCACAAUGGUUGCUGCGACGCUCCGCUCCAUACUCCGUCGUAAUAGUCUUCUGCCCUUGUUCGAAACCUGUCGCCUUCGAGAUCUCCUCUUCUUCUCCUCCUAUGUCGACAUUGCUUUCGCCGUAUGCGGCACCACAUCUCCUGAUCCCCACUUCGUGAUGGAAUACCUCGUGAACUCCUGCGGAUUCUCCCCCUCCGAGGUAGCCAAGUUCUCUAAACCCAUUACUUACCUCCGAUCCACCGAUAAACCCGACGUCGUCCUUAACUUCAUGAGAUCUCAGUGCUUCAAUGGUGUCGGUAUCAGGAAGCUGAUAUCUUGGAAAGCCAGUUACCUAUGCAUGAAUGUGGAGAAGAACUUGGCCCCGAAGUUUCUUUUCUUACUCGAUUUGGGCCUAUUGGAGUCGGAUAUCGUCGAUGUCAUCUUGAAGAACCAUGUCAUCCUCCUCCUCAACGUUCACCAUUCCUUCGUUGCCAAAUUAGAGAUGUGGGAAAGUCUCUUGGGAUCGAGAGAGCUCGUUCUCAAGCAUCUCAAGAAGACAGGAUGGUUUUUCUUCUUCAGCUUUGAGAAGACAUUGCAUCCUAACCUAAAGUUCUUGAGGGAUGAGUGCGGCAUUCCUGAAAAAAGGGCCUCUCUCGUCUUGAGAAGUCACCCACAAUUAAUCUCACAGAAACCAGAGUCACUACGAGCUUUGGUGGCGAGAGCCGAUGAGCUGGGGAUGCCAUGGCUAUCUCGGAUGUUUGUGCGGACACUUAUGUUCUCCAAAUGGUAAGUAAAGAAAUGUUCGAGGCCAGGGUCGAGCUCAUGAUGAGCUACGGGUGGUCGGAGUCGGAGUUUUCUUUUGCAGUCAGGAAAGCACCCACCUUCUUAGGCAUGUCCCUCGAUAUGAUGUGCAGAAAAAUGAAAUUUUUCUAUCCAAAACCAAGCAUCGGUUAAAAUGAAUGUAGACUUGGAGGAGUGCCACAGAGGCAUAUCUACCGAUCGUAAAGAAUGAGAUGAAGAUGCGAGGUGAUGGAUAGUAGGGUCAUGGGUAUGGUAGCGUCAUGAUACCGCAAAGGCGGGACUUUCAUGAAGUCAUCGAUCCCUUGCUCUUAUAGAGGGAGAGCGCUUGGUCGUGAAAGGGAUCGGGAAGGUGGAGAAUGCAGAGACAAACAACAAUUACCGAGACAAGAUUGAAGGGCAGAGAUCAGGAAACUUCGUAAGACUGAUGUUAACCAUCUUCUCAUUAAGAUAGUUGAAAGUAAAUGACUUCAGGUUGAUGCAAGAGUGUUCAACCGAGGAAUAAAGUAGGCAGUACAUGGUGUUGUACCUUUGCAACUCAGUAGGAGUAGGCAACAAAGAUGAUGGAGAAGACGAGUACAAUCACAGUGGCGACCAAAACUAUUAGGGAUAUGCUCGAAGUUGGGGUGAAAACUUCUUGCAUUCCAGAAGUUCAAUAGCAUUGAGAAGGUGAAUUACAGUAGCUAACUCAACGUAAGGAGUACAAACACUUCGAAUGCUUCAUAAGUAUGAGCAAAGAGCAUGUGAAAGCUAGUAAUCAGCUCGAUGCAUGGAAUACAACCCUCGAGGAGGCAGGCGAAGUCAAGUAACCUUUGCCUUCUUAACUCUUAAGAGAAUGGGCGAAACCGAGUACUUCAAUUCUCUUAUCUAUCCAGUAGAGAAGCUCUACACAAGUUCAAAGACCCUUCGAAGAAAUCUAAUGGAAGACAAUAGUUGUCAAAUUCUCACCAAUGGUGAUCAGUGCCACUAAGAAUAGACUAUCCGUUUCAUUUCUUAACAGAAUGCCAAUUGAAAGCGGAAGUGGUGCGAACCUACUUGGAAGUGACGACGAAGUGGAAGAAGAAUCGAUAGACAAAUUUUAUAAAGGAAGGACCCAAAAAUUUUAAAGUUUGUGAGGCGAUGCUCGCUAAAGCUCCAACAAGCAUCCACUUAGUUCAAGCAGCACGAAGCAUUUGAGAGACGAGCGCAUACUAAGAAUGGUCUUUUCCUUCAUCUGAGGGAUCCACGGGAAACAACAGGAAUCAGCACAACUUAGUCGACCUCACACCAAAGUCAGAGUUAUUAGCGAGUUGAAACAGCAUGGCGGAUCAAAGCCGACUACUCAACAACAACGACGGAGUGCAGUUGGGAGCCAUGAGGCGCAUUGCAACUGGAGCACAAGAUUGAAGACUUAACAAAGGCGAGGAGAUGCAGCGUCUGCAAAGGUUUCGACGAGGAUGUUGAAAGAAUAAGUGGGGGAGAAUGUUACGGACAAAACUAUAAACAAGGUGUUUGAUGUAAUGCUCAUGUAUAUCUGUGUCUUUCGGUUUUGUACAUGCUUUGCAUAGCAUGUAAAUGGAUGAUAGUAGGCUUAGCAGCCUCAUUUUCUUUGGUUUUGGUGGCCAUCUUAGGCUUGCAAACAAAGAUUGUGUCAUGUGGGCACUUGCGGGGAUUUCAGUCUGUAGUUGACCAUUUUGGACCCUUUGCUGUGCGACCGUUUAAAGUUUGUGAAGUCUAUUUAUAAUUUGCAUUGGCUAUGAAGUGCUUGUUGGAAUGAUUACAUGUGGAUCCCGAGUGAGAUGCUUUCUCUACCCCGUUUUCUCUUUUUUAGGUCCGAAGGGACAAUACGAGGUUUCAGGGAGGUUGACCUUCGCGAAUGGACACACGAGGGUGCUGCACAACUUUGGCAAAGCCAGCUAAAUACCUGACAGAACGGGUAUUAGGUCUGUCCAAAUUAAUUCCGGAUGAGUUUUUGGUUGUUGGGUGAGUGUCAAAGAGCUAUGUUUCAGAUCAAGUUAUGCAGUAUGUAUAUAUCACCAAAGAUCACAAAAAGUUACAUGGAGUAGUAUUUGCUCUAAUGAUUUUAGUAGCUGAAAAAAAUUUAAACACCAAAGUGUUGUUUCUAUAAUUUGUUUUAAGUGAGUUUUUACGGAUUUAUGGAUUUGGAUGUCUUCAAGGAGGUGUUAUCUUGUCCGUUGAGCUUCUUUGCAAACUUAUUCGUGUGCUAAUUGGAAGAUUUCAUUUCUGUUUCUUUUAUGUAUUGUGAUAUUUGCAUGCAGGGGCCUCAAUGGAAUUUGCAAGACCAGUUGCUGUGUUGAUCAGGAUUACCAUUGGUACUCACCCAUUUGUUUUGCAUGUAAGAAGGUGUCACUUUGCUUGCAGGUUGAAUGGACUUCAGAGAAUCAAAACUUGAGUAUGAUAUCCUGAAAUGUCUUCAGCCUCAUUGGAAUUGUUGCUCAGGCAUUUCCUGCAUCAACAAACUCUAACAUGCAAACUAAUUUAUAUGCCUAAACAUUUUAAAAUUGACAAAAAAUGUGUAUUUCAAAUUUCUGUAAUUGUCUUUACGUUUUGUUGUAGAGUUAAUGAUCAUUACAUCACAAGGUUUUAUGUCCUGCAUUUAGUGCAGAAAUGACUACUUAUGAUUGUGCACACUAUCCUGACCCAUUCACAGCUACCUUGUUUCCGCCUCUCCAUGCAAUUGUGCAUAUUUUUAAUAUCACAGUUCAGAUAAGAUCAUAAGAAUUUCGAUCAUCGUUCUCAAUAUGUAAAACGUUUUCUGAAUCUUUAUAUUAGCUGUUCCAUCUUUUGCAGCGAAUUUUGUGUAGCUGUGCAUGAGUUCUUGAUCUUACAACUUUCAAGUGCAUCAAGAAUAUUGGAAGGUAUGCAAAAACUGCUUUUCUAAUUACAUUCUUGAUCCUGCCAAGCUUGUUAGUAGUGCGACAGAGUUUGCUAUGAAUCUUUUCUCUUACAAGCAGAUCAUUGGAAGUGAUUCUUGGAUUCUUGUUCAUAGUAUUAGCUGUUCCAUCUUUUGCAGCGAAUUUUGUGUAGCUGUGCAUGAGUUCUUGAUCUUACAACUUUCAAGUGCAUCAAGAAUAUUGGAAGGUAUGCAAAAACUGCUUUUCUAAUUACAUUCUUGAUCCUGCCAAGCUUGUUAGUAGUGCGACAGAGUUUGCUAUGAAUCUUUUCUCUUACAAGCAGAUCAUUGGAAGUGAUUCUUGGAUUCUUGUUCAUAGUAUUUGCUUUAUUUUUUAGUGUGUUGGUUUAUUUAAUCUGUUGUGAGGUCAGUACGACAGUUUCAAAAUCAUUUGCUUUUUAUCUCGAUUCUCAAUGGGCAUAUCGAGACUCGUAAUGGGCCUAAAUUGGGCUUUCACAUUGACUAGGCUUGCCCAAUGUUUUCGCCCAAUCGAACCCAUUGUGGACCCGUAAGCAGCCCAUUUCUUGUGGCGUACGCUCAACCCUCAUCCAAACUGCACCCACGUGUCUCUCUCUCGUUCACUCAGAGGCUUCGGAGGCCUCCGUUGCGCCCACUCGUCCCUGCUUGAUAGACCUCGACCCGUCCGCCGUUGGAUCAUCGUCCAUCACGUAUCCUGUCCGUCCAUUCCC